UGUACAUUGGGGUUUCUUCUAUUUUAGGGUUCAAGUUGAAAACAGAUUUUAAAUUCAAUUUUGUUUUUGGUUCUUCAUAUGGAGUUAUUCUAGGGCUUUUUCUUUGUUAGAUUAAAGGGCAUUGUAGCGAUCUGAUCUUGAUGUAAUCUGUAUAGAUUAAAGGGAAUUGACAACUUGUCUUCCCUAUUUUACUAAUGCUUUUUCGAGAUACAUGCAUAAUCUGUAUAAAUUCAAAGUUCAGAAUUGUGAUUGGAAGCUUCUUCAUCUUCUUGGCUUCACUCUACCAACCUUGAGUUGCUGAGCUGGGGGUUCUAACACUUCUACACACAAUUUGUUUUAGCAAUGAAUCCUGAACAAACAAGAAAACAUCCUUGCACAAUAAAAGAGGCUUAUGAAAAAAAAAAAUGUCAAGCAAUGUGAAAUAUAGCAUGAUAUGCCGUUAGCUGAAAAGAAUGUUCUUCUGUUGCAACGGCGCCUUAAAGAUAGAGCGGCAAUGACUAGGCGUCUUCUUGCAAAUACAAAUUCGGCCAACCCAAUUGAAUCACUAUGUCUUACUAAGGAUAAUCUUAAUGUCGAAUGACCUUCCUCUAUUUCACAAGAUACAAACACUGGGGACAAGCAUCUCCAUGGUUAGGUAGGAUCAAUCCUCUAGACCAAGAAAUGCCAAUAAAUGGGGAUGAUAAAUUUUUCCCUACAUCUGGCAAUGACUUGAAACCAGAAGUAGUCAAUUCCAGUCGGAAGUAUCGUGUUCUUGCCUAGUUCGUGCUCCAUCAAAUUCUGCACUCGACGAGAUUGUGUUGCACAUUCUAAACACUGGGUCCACCAGGGACUGGAAAAACACAAACCAUACUUGGGAUUCUCAGUGCCAUUUUGCAUGCAACUCCUGCUAGAUUACACUCCAACAGAUGGAUUACUCUCUCUGCAACUUCUCUAAAAGGACAACUCAAAUUCUUAACUUACAUGCAUAUUAACGUUUUUCUUGAAAAAGGCACAUCAAAUAGAAGUGAUGCAUGUUAGGCUUCCUCUUGGCCGUCAACUUUCAACAAGAGCACACUUUCAACCUCAAAUGAUCUGCAGCUCCUCUGCAGAAAUUGAACAUGAUAUGGCUUCAUUCCUAAGAGGGAAUUUCAGUUUGAAUUUCAGGGAUAUAUGAUUACAAUUCGAGGGACGACCCAUGCACUUACAGAAAUACCGUUGGAUAUCUAGAAGACCCACUGUUCAAAUAACUGAAGACCCCAUCAAUUCUACAGGCUUUAUUCUAGAUUUACUCAAAAAUGUUAGGAGCAAUGUUGAGGUAAUAUCUAAUUUUGUUAUACACACAACUUCUUGGAUUGUUCUGCCUGUACUCAAGCUGAGUUUGUUAUCCCUUUAAACUUAUUUAAGAUUGAAGGCUUGGACAAGCACAAAAGUAGAGGUGCCACAUGUACCAAGCACAUGGAAGAAAAUAUCCACUGUUUGACGAACUGUUGUCUUUUCUUAAUUGCUUAAAGAAAUAUAGAUUAUCAGUUUCACAACCUCUUCCUCUUCCAUCACCUCAGAAUGUCGCUGCUACAAGUUGUAUCAUUCCCAAUACCUCUGCGCCAUUGGCACUACUUUAAGAUGAAAUUUCUACUACAUGCUACCAUUCUCUUCAGAACGUUGUAUAUCACAACACCUUUGGGGCUGACCUCUGCUGCAAAGAAUUAAUGUUCAAUUACAUUAUUAGCAUGUUUUGAUUUCACUUAAAUGAUUACCUUGACUAGUACUGCAGGCUGACAAACUUAACAUCUAUUAUAUUCAGAUGGAAAUGUGGAUGAGUAGCAAAAAAACAACUAUCAUAUGUCAUAACAGUCAAAUUGUAUGAUUAUCAACAACAAACGAGCUUCUUCUUGGUUGUCAUUGGGCCCGUGCUUACAACUGAAAAGAGGCCCAAACCAGCGAAAUCUUUUCAAAAGAAACUGAAAAGGGUAAUAAAACUGGCCCAAUAUUUCUGGGCAGCAGCAGCAGCCCGAAUGGCCCACCAAACUCAUUCUCUCUCUCUCUCUCUUGAUUAUUAGAUUGUAUUUAGUUAUUUUUGUUUUGAUUAAUUCUAACUUUGAAUACUUAAAUUAACUUAAUUAAAUGAAAAAACUAUAUAGGUUUCAGGUGAAGCUUUACAAUUAAAAAAACUAAUACUUCGAAGAGUUACACGAAGUACAAAGAGAAGGAGGACUACUCUUGUUGAUUUUUUUAAUACUUGUAUUUUUUUCUUUUGAAUAGGAGGAACAAGAAGAAACAUUAAAAGAGAAUAUGUUACUCUUGUUUAAUUUUUUGAGUACUUGUAUUUUAUUCUUUGUAAUAGGAGAAACAAGAAGAAUCUUGUUUCAUUU